rnacentral:rRNA from 1 species
ACUGAACGCUGGCGGCAUGCCUUACACAUGCAAGUCGAACGGUAACAGGUCUUCGGAUGCUGACGAGUGGCGAACGGGUGAGUAAUGCAUCGGAACGUGCCCAGUAGUGGGGGAUAGCCCGGCGAAAGCCGGAUUAAUACCGCAUACGACCUGAGGGUGAAAGGGGGGGAUCGCAAGACCUCUCGCUAUUGGAGCGGCCGAUGUCAGAUUAGCUAGUUGGUGGGGUAAAGGCCUACCAAGGCAACGAUCUGUAGUUGGUCUGAGAGGACGACCAGCCACACUGGGACUGAGACACGGCCCAGACUCCUACGGGAGGCAGCAGUGGGGAAUUUUGGACAAUGGGCGCAAGCCUGAUCCAGCAAUGCCGCGUGCAGGAAGAAGGCCUUCGGGUUGUAAACUGCUUUUGUCAGGGAAGAAAUCUUCUGGGUUAAUACCUCGGGAGGAUGACGGUACCUGAAGAAUAAGCACCAGCUAACUACGUGCCAGCCGCCGCGGUAACAC